rnacentral:rRNA from 1 species
CAUUUAGAGGAAGUAAAAGUCGUAACAAGGUUUCCGUAGGUGAACCUGCGGAAGGAUCAUUAUCGAAUUUCGAGGGGGGGAAGAUUGGGGAGUUGGACUGUCGCUGGCCCUCGGGCAUGUGCACGUCUUACUUUUCGUCGACCUUCUCUCACCCACACACACACCUGUGCACCCGUUGUAGGUUCUCGAAAGAGGAUCUAUGUUUUUCACAUCACACCCCUAUCGUAUGUCUACAGAAUGUAUUGAAAUGAAAUAAAUCAUACAACUUUCAGCAACGGAUCUCUUGGCUCUCGCAUCGAUGAAGAACGCAGCGAAUUGCGAUAAGUAAUGUGAAUUGCAGAUUUUCAGUGAAUCAUCGAAUCUUUGAACGCACCUUGCGCUCCUUGGUAUUCCGAGGAGCAUGCCUGUUUGAGUGUCAUUGAAUUCUCAACCAUGUCUUGAUUGACUUCGAGGCAUGGCUUGGAGUUGGGGGUUGCUGGCAGCGAAAAGCUCGUCGGCUCUCCUGAAAUGCAUUAGCAAAGGACGGCAAGUCUUUGACGUGCACGGCCUUCGACGUGAUAAUGAUCGUCGUGGCUGGAGUGUCGGACAUGCAUGAAUCGUUCGUGCUUCCAAUCCAUAUCCAUUCCUAGCUCGAGCUCAGUUGCUUAGCUACUAGUUGGUCGCGAGGCCGACGAACGUUGGGCAAGCUUGCUUUUGGCUGGGGGUUGGCAUUUUCGAAACUUGACCUCAAAUCAGGCAGGACUACCCGCUGAACUUAAGCAUAUCAAUAA